rnacentral:rRNA from 1 species
CCUACGGGGGGCUGCAGUGGGGAAUAUUGGACAAUGGGCGAAAGCCUGAUCCAGCCAUGCCGCGUGUGUGAAGAAGGCCUUCGGGUUGUAAAGCACUUUCAGUGGGGAAGAAAGCCUUGGGGCUAAUACCCUCGAGGAAGGACAUCACCCACAGAAGAAGCACCGGCUAACUCCGUGCCAGCAGCCGCGGUAAUACGGAGGGUGCGAGCGUUAAUCGGAAUUACUGGGCGUAAAGCGCGCGUAGGCGGUCUGAUAAGCCGGUUGUGAAAGCCCCGGGCUCAACCUGGGAACGGCAUCCGGAACUGUCAGGCUAGAGUGCAGGAGAGGAAGGUAGAAUUCCCGGUGUAGCGGUGAAAUGCGUAGAGAUAGGGAGGAAUACCAGUGGCGAAGGCGGCCUUCUGGACUGACACUGACGCUGAGGUGCGAAAGCGUGGGUAGCAAACAGGAUUAGAUACCCCUGUGUC